rnacentral:rRNA from 1 species
AGGUCAUUGCUAUCGGAGUCCGAUUUAGCCAUGCUAGUCGUGCGAGUUCAGACUCGCGGCAAAUAGCUCAGUAACACGUGGUCAAGCUACCCUACAGAGAACGAUAUCCUCGGGAAACUGAGGCCAAUAGUUCAUAAGGUUCCCAAGCUGGAGUGCCGAGAACUGGAAACGUUCCGACGCUGUAGGAUGCGGCUGCGGUCGAUUAGGUAGACGGUGGGGUAACGGCCCACCGUGCCGAUAAUCGGUACGGGUUGUGAGAGCAAGAGCCCGGAGACGGAAUCUGAGACAAGAUUCCGGGCCCUACGGGGCGCAGCAGGCGCGAAACCUUUACACUGCACGCAAGUGCGAUAAGGGGACUCCGAGUGCGAGGGCAUAUAGUCCUCGCUUUUCUGUACCGUAGGAAGGUACAGGAACAAGAGCUGGGCAAGACCGGUGCCAGCCGCCGCGGUAAUACCGGCAGCUCAAGUGAUGACCGAUUUUAUUGGGCCUAAAGCGUCCGUAGCUGGCCAAACAAGUCUGUCGGGAAAUCCAUCCGCUCAACGGAUGGGCGUCCGGCGGAAACUCUUUGGCUUGGGACCGGAAGGCUCGAGGGGUACGUCUGGGGUAGGAGUGAAAUCCCGUAAUCCUGGACGGACCACCGAUGGCGAAAGCACCUCGAGAAGACGGAUCCGACAGUGAGGGACGAAAGCUAGGGUCUCGAACCGGAUUAGAUACCCGGGUAGUCCUAGCUGUAAACGAUGUUCGCUAGGUGUGGCACAGGCUACGAGCCUGUGCUGUGCCGUAGGGAAGCCGAGAAGCGAACCGCCUGGGAAGUACGUCCGCAAGGAUGAAACUUAAAGGAAUUGGCGGGGGAGCACUACAACCGGAGGAGCCUGCGGUUU